rnacentral:rRNA from 1 species
ACAAUGGAGGCAACUCUGAUCCAGCCAUGCCGCGUGAAGGAAUAAGGCCCUAUGGGUUGUAAACUUCUUUUAGACGGGACAAAACCCCUUUACGUGUAAAGGGUUGAUGGUACUGUCAGAAUAAGCAUCGGCUAACUUCGUGCCAGCAGCCGCGGUAAUACGAAGGAUGCAAGCGUUAUCCGGACUUAUUGGGUUUAAAGGGUGCGUAGGCGGACUAAUAAGUCAUUGGUGAAAGCCUGCAGCUUAACUGCAGAAUUGCCAUUGAUACUGUUAGGCUUGAGUACAGUUGA